rnacentral:rRNA from 1 species
GAUGAACGCUAGCUACAGGCUUAACACAUGCAAGUCGAGGGGAAACGACAUCGAAAGCUUGCUUUUGAUGGGCGUCGACCGGCGCACGGGUGAGUAACGCGUAUCCAACCUGCCCAUCACUUGGGAAUAACCUUGCGAAAGUAAGACUAAUACCCAAUGAUAUCCCACGAAGGCAUCGGAAUGGGAUUAAAGAUUUAUCGGUGAUGGAUGGGGAUGCGUCUGAUUAGCUUGUUGGCGGGGUAACGGCCCACCAAGGCGACGAUCAGUAGGGGUUCUGAGAGGAAGGUCCCCCACAUUGGAACUGAGACACGGUCCAAACUCCUACGGGAGGCAGCAGUGAGGAAUAUUGGUCAAUGGGCGAGAGCCUGAACCAGCCAAGUAGCGUGCAGGAAGACGGCCCUAUGGGUUGUAAACUGCUUUUAUAAGGGAAUAAAGUGGGUCACGUGUGACUUUUUGCAUGUACCUUAUGAAUAAGAACCGGCUAAUUCCGUG